rnacentral:lncRNA from 1 species
AUGACCCUCUGGUCUUCCUCUGAGCUGGGCUGUGUCUGGGAGCGAGGCCUGCACUCUGCACCUGUGAGAGCCACGAGGAGCCCACGUGAGCCUGGCAGAAGGUCAGAUGGCAAGAGCUGGUUCCUGAUGGAGCUGCCGAGGGCACGGAGGUCACUCUGCCAGUGGAAAACUCUCCCUCUCCAGGUAGAGACCCAAACACAGCCUUCCCCAGAGCACCUACUUUCAGGAUCACCGGGUCCCAUUCUGUGCUCCUGUGUGGGCUCCCUGUUKGGAGGACGCUGGCUUGCCAGCUCUGCYCCUGGGAGCUGAUUCUCUCUCUGCUGUGCACGUCCAGUCUAACAGAGUUCCAGAACUCUAURCUGAUCCAACCUGGCUGCAGCUCCKUCAGUGGAUGGAGGGACUGGCAUAGYAGAAGACAGCUUUUCUGUGGGAUAAGGAAUAAGCUCAGAAGACAGUCCCCCUCCUGCCAUGCACAGUUAUGCUGCUGCUAUUGAGAAUCUGAAGCGGYGAUGAGUUUAACAUGCAGUAAACACGAGUUGGUCAAUUUAUUCUUUUUCAGAAACUCAGUAUAGAACAGUGA